AUUGGACGCUGGCGGCAGGCCUAACACAUGCAAGUCGAGCGGGGUUUUCGGACCUAGCGGCGGACGGGUGAGUAAUGCGUAGGAAGCUACCCGAUAGAGGGGGAUACCAGUUGGAAACGACUGUUAAUACCGCAUAAUGUCUACGGACCAAAGUGUGGGACCUUCGGGCCACAUGCUAUCGGAUGCGCCUACGUGGGAUUAGCUAGUUGGUGAGGUAAUGGCUCACCAAGGCGACGAUCCCUAGCUGGUUUGAGAGGAUGAUCAGCCACACUGGAACUGAGACACGGUCCAGACUCCUACGGGAGGCAGCAGUGGGGAAUAUUGGACAAUGGGCGCAAGCCUGAUCCAGCCAUGCCGCGUGUGUGAAGAAGGCCUUCGGGUUGUAAAGCACUUUCAGUAGGGAGGAAGGGUUAAGUGUUAAUAGUACUUAACUUUGACGUUACCUACAGAAGAAGCACCGGCUAACUCUGUGCCAGCCGCCGCAGUAACAC
rnacentral:rRNA from 1 species